GUACGUCGUUGCUAGUUGCUACCCACGACCGCGCAGUUCUUGUCGCACUCUCCGAAGAACCAGAGCGAGGGGAGAGAGAGAUGCCAAAGAAGAAGGGAGUUGGAUAGCGAUGAGCCUUGCUCCCUUUCCCUUUCGUGUCUUCGCAUCGUCGCCAUGAUGCAUAGUAUCAUUCUGUUCUUGUAGAGUCCUGUUCAAGCUCCACAAGGAUCACAUCCAGUGUCAAGCAAAGCUUACAGUUUUUAAAGAUAUGGAAGUACAAACCAGGGUUUACAAAAAGCUGUUCUAGUUCUUGUGGAUGGGUACAAUGUAUGUGGGUAGGCCAAAAUUGAAGAAUCAUUUUAUAAGGGAAAGCUUGAUAUUGCUCGCUAGAAGCUGAUUGAUGAGUUGAUAACUUUUAGUGCAAUCAAAGGGCUACAAAAGUCAAGGUGGUGGUUGUGUUUGAUGCUAUGAAGUCUGGAUUUCCAACUCAAAAGGAAAACUUUGGAGGGUAAGAUUAUUCAAUCAUGGUUGCACACAUUUCCAGAGAUUAUUUAAGUUAAUUGAGCUUUUACAAUCCCUUUUGGAAGGUAGAAGCUGUCAUGAUAAACAAAUGUCUCAUCAUUGUUGUUCUUUAGUAUUUCUAUUGGUGGCACCAGCUUAUUUGAUUGUUUUAUGUCUCAGAAAAGAGCCAUUUCUUUUUAAAAUUCUUAAAAAGUUUGAGAAAUUUAUGUGCCUUAACCUUCUAAUUGGCUCAAAUGCUGGACCUUUAUGGUUGCAGUUGAUCUCAAACUGUUGGGAUUCUGUUUUUGUGACCCGAA